CUGCCCCCGCCCCGCUGGGUCGCUGGGUCGCUGCGUCGCCCCGGCGCGGGGAGAAUAAUCCGUGCGGAGCGGCGGUGCCCCGAGAUGUUCUGUAACUAUUUCCCAGUUGCUCCAUGGCCAUCCCGGUGCGUUGCUGGUCCUAGGGAGGGAAUAAGGGAACGGCGUGGAAGAGCAGCUCCACACCAAGGACAGGUCUCGGCUGCACAGGUUCAGGAGCAGGAGUGAUUUCCCUGAAACAUCGGGAGCAUUUUAUGACCCUGAAAGGAGCCAGUUUUGGAGGACAGCUAAGUAUGCCAAGCAGUGACUCAUGACUACAGGCUGGGAAAACAGCCUCACCUUGGCACUGGAGUACACUGAGACACCUUGGGAGGUCCAGGGGACACAUGGACUUCACUAAAUGUUUUUCUCCUACUGUACUGUUUGAGCCAGGGUGGCAUUAGGGGUGUUGUCACAUCAUAGUGGGCAUGGGGCUCUCUGGUCAGGUCCUGAUUUACCUUACCAUCAGAGGAAAGGACAAAGGAGGUCUCCUGUACCAAAUUGUUUCCACUCUCCUUUCAAGUGACAUCUGUUCAGUGAAGCAUUGUCAUACCAAUCAAUAGGUAUUGGUUUUGUAUAGCAUAUGAUCAUAUCCACUUAAACCUUUGGGGCAAGGAUUAAUCAGGUGACCUUCCCCUUGCUGUAUAUUCCGUGUAUGUGUAGUGUAUACUGAACCCAGUCAGUUUGUUAAAAGCAGUGAAAUUUAUCAUGGUAACACUGAAACCACAAAGGAGGUUGACGUCCACUUCAGUUAAUCAUAAAAUAAUAAUAACCUGAAGCAUCUUUUAUUAAGGUUUAUGCAUUUUGUUCCCUGCUUUUAAACAAGCUAUAGAUUUGUACUCUGUCUCUUGCCUCCCUCAGCACCAAUGGCAAAAAUUACACCACUUUCUAGAAAUAUAAGCACCUUCACUCACUAUUGAAGCCAGAAAGAAUUACAACUAGAAAUACAGAAUUUCUAUUCAUCCAAAAAGAUGAAUGCUCCUUACACUUCAAAAUUCAGUUUAGUAAAUUGAACAAAAAGAAAGGUUAUUUGACUCCCGGUGGUGAGUUGACUGAUAUAUCUUUGAUGCCAAAUCUCCAGUUUGGCACUAAAAAAGGAUCAAUCCCUAUACCUGUACUUUUCUCCUUCUUUAGUCUGUUAAAACAGCUGAUCUAUUUUUUACUAUUUCCAUUCAAACAGUUAAUGCAGAUAUUAUCAUUGCCCAUUGGAAAUUGUGAUGCCAAUGCAUGUAUAACUACCACUGAAGAGUAGCAAAAUGAUUUCUCUUUAACAAACCAGCUUUGUGAAUAUAUUUUUCCAGUUAAUCUGAUUUCAAACACUGUCAAUAUGCAAGUUUCUUGCUUUACCGUAUCAGUAUGAUCAAAAGCGUAAAAAUCUUAUCAGUGCUGGUACUCAUAUAAAUUAGAUUAGUGGUAAAGUUUGUUUACAUGUCCAUAGAGAAACAUGCCAUAACUGGAGAAUUAAGUUUUGUUUAUUUAGUUCAGUGUUUCACUGGAAAAGCUGUCUUGAUGAAGAAAAUAAUGCUUCUAACUCAGAGGCGUAUUUCCCCAGUAAAAUCUGUGCACACUGGCUGAGGGUCUAACCCUGAGGUAGAUGAGCAAACUUCUGGCUAACCUGAAGGACUCCAAAGGACUUGAGCACGUUAUUUUCACAAACAGCAGCUAAUAAAAGCCUCCAAUGGCUGCCUUGUGUGUUUCCAUGCCUUUUUAUUUGAAC